UCAAGUUUAAACCCUAAAUUGAAGAUCAAAUCAAGCCCGAAUCGUCUGCAUGAUUACAAAUUCGUGAUCACCUAGUCGUGGGGAUCUCAAGUUUGACGCGUAACAAGCUAGGUGAGAGCUUGGAGGGAGGAGCGGGUCAAACGGAGCAAGCACGGAAAGAAAAGCGUGGCGUGAAUGCGAGGACCAAUUAGCAAAUUGGAUAAUUACGUCACUAUUGAUGGUGUGAUAAUGAAAACGAGGUAUAAAUCGGAUCUACUUAGUGAUCCGGUCCAGGUACAUUUUGGAUGCCGAAAGACGAUCAAGCUCAACGAAGA